CCUACGGGUGGCAGCAGUGGGGAAUAUUGCACAAUGGGGGAAACCCUGAUGCAGCGACGCCGCGUGAGUGAAGAAGGUCUUCGGUAUGUAAAGUUCUAUCACCAGGGAUGAAAACUACGGUACCCGCGUAAGAAUGCCCGGCCAACCACGGUCCCGCCACCCCGGUAAUACGUAGGGGGCCAGCGUUUGCCGGGUGUACCGGGUGUAAAGGGGGUGUAGGCGGCAGUAUAAGUUUGGAGUGAAAGGCCGGGGCUUAACCCCGGAACUGCCUAGAAAACUGGGAAGCGGGAGUGCAGGAGAGGUAAGUGGAAUUCCGGGUGUAGCGGUGGAAUGCGUAGAUAUUGGGAGGAACACCAGUGGCGAAGGCGACUUACUGGACUGUAACUGACGUUGAGGCUCGAAAGCGUGGGGAGCAAACAGGAUUAGAUACCCCAGUAGUC
rnacentral:rRNA from 1 species